UACGUAGGCAGCAAGCGUUGUUCGGAGUUACUGGGCGUAAAGGGUGCGUAGGCGGUUCUAUAAGUCAGUGGUGAAAUCCGGCAGCUCAACUGUCGAUGUGCCAUUGAUACUGCAGAACUUGAGUACAGACGAGGUAGGCGGAAUUGACGGUGUAGCGGUGAAAUGCUUAGAUAUCGUCAAGAACACCGAUAGCGAAGGCAGCUUACUAGACUGUAACUGACGCUGAUGCACGAAAGUGUGGGGAUCAAACAGG
rnacentral:rRNA from 1 species